rnacentral:rRNA from 1 species
CUACGGGCCGCUGCAGUGGGGAAUAUUGCACAAUGGAGGAAACUCUGAUGCAGCAACGCCGCGUGGAGGAUGACACUUUUCGGAGCGUAAACUCCUUUUAUAUAGGAAGAAGAUGACGGUACUAUAUGAAUAAGCGCCGGCUAACUCCGUGCCAGCAGCCGCGGUCAUACGGAGGGCGCAAGCGUUACUCGGAAUCACUGGGCGUAAAGAGCGUGUAGGCGGAUUAAAAAGUCAGAAGUGAAAUCCUAUAGCUUAACUAUAGAACUGCUUCUGAAACUCUUAAUCUAGAAUAUGGGAGAGGUAGAGGGAAUUUCUGGUGUAGGGGUAAAAUCCGUAGAGAUCAGAAGGAAUACCGAUUGCGAAGGCGAUCUACUAGAACAUUAUUGACGCUGAGACGCGAAAGCGUGGGGAGCAAACAGGAUUAGAUACCCGGGUAGUC